CACGUAGGUUAUCUGCCUCUAGGUGAGGGACAACCGAGGGAAACUUCGGCUAAUACCACAUAUGGGCUUCGGCUCAAAGGCUUCGGCCGCCUGGAGAUGAGCCUGCGUCCCAUUAUUUAGUCCUUGUUGGUGGGGUAAUGGCCUACCAAGGGUACGAUGGGUAGCUGGUCUGAGAGGAUGAUCAGCCACACUGGGACUGAGACACGGCCCAGACUCCUACGGGAGGCAGCAGUGGGGAAUCUUGCGCAAUGGGCGAAAGCCUGACGCAGCCACGCCGCGUGUGUGAUGAAGGCCCCAGGG
rnacentral:rRNA from 1 species